AAAUAGAAUUGAUGUGAAUAUUGGGAUGAAGGUUUUUUUUACAUUUUUAAUAAUUUUUUUUUAUGUCCUAUAGGAGAGAAGCCCUAUGAGUGCUAUAUCUGUCAUGCACGUUUUACUCAGAGUGGUACCAUGAAGAUGCACAUACUGCAGAAGCACACAGAAAAUGUGGCAAAAUUUCACUGCCCCCACUGCGACACCGUUAUUGCCCGCAAGAGUGAUCUUGGUAAAACUGCAAUGUUCAGCAUUAACAUUUUAUAGUUGUUGCUGCUUACUUGUGUGCUUUUUAGUAGCAAUGACAGCUUGGAACAUACUUGUGGUGUAUUGAUGUUUACACAUUUGCUGUGUCCCUUGCAGGUGUACAUCUCCGUAAGCAGCAUUCCUACAUUGAGCAGGGAAGGAAGUGCCGUUACUGUGAUGCAGUGUUCCAUGAGCGCUACGCACUCAUCCAGCAUCAGAAGUCCCACAAAAAUGAGAAACGCUUCAAGUGUGAUCAGUGUGACUAUGCAUGCCGUCAGGAGCGUCACAUGGUCAUGCACAAGCGUACCCAUACCGGGGAGAAGCCUUAUUCCUGCAGCCAAUGUGAGAAAACUUUCAGACAGAAACAGCUCCUGGACAUGCACUUUCGGCGCUAUCACGACCCCAAUUUUGUACCCACAUCCUUUGUAUGCACCAAGUGCGGCAAGACCUUCACUCGCAGGAAUACCAUGGCCAGACAUGCAGAGAACUGCAAUGGUAUGGAUUCUGGUGAUGGAGAGAAUGGAGCUCCACCCAAAAGGGGCCGUGGAGGCCGAAAGAGGAAAAUGCGCUCUAGAAAGGAUGAUGAUGAUGAUGAUGAUAGUGGUGAGUAACUUGGCUGUAGUUUUGCUACUAUGCUGGUGGUUGUAUUAUAAGUUGAACAAACACUUGCAUGAAAUCUGUGAACUUUUUUUUUGUGGUUGGGGUGGGGGUUCCAGAAUGGAGUGGGUAUAGCUUAUUGUACUAAAUAUAAAUCAUGACCGUUUUAAGAGAAUUUUAACGCUGUAACCUGAAUAUCUUAGAUGAGCAUGGAGAACCUGACCUUGAUGACAUUGAUGAAGAGGAAGAUGAUGAGCUAUUUGAUGAUGACCAGAUGGACGUGGUACAGGCUCCACCCAGUGUUCCUAUCCCUGCGCCAGCCGAACCUCCUGUCAAGAGGAAACGUGGCAGACCCCCAAAGAAUGCACCCAAGGCUUCUCCUACCAAGU
ensembl:lncRNA